GACGAACGCUGGCGGCGUGCUUAACACAUGCAAGUCGAACGGAAAGGCCUGCUUUCCCUUGUGGAUUGUGGGUACUCGAGUGGCGAACGGGUGAGUAACACGUGAGUGAUCUGCCCCCAACUUGGGUAUAAGCCUGGGAAACUGGGUCUAAUUCCCGAUAGGACUGCAGGGUGGUGCCUGUGGUGGAAAACGAUUUUCUAGUGGUUGGGGAUGAGCUCGCGGCCUAUCAGCUUGUUGGUGGGGUAAUGGCCUACCAAGGCGGCGACGGGUAGCCGGCCUGAGAGGGUGGACGGCCACAUUGGGACUGAGAUACGGCCCAGACUCCUACGGGAGGCAGCAGUGGGGAAUAUUGCACAAUGGGCGGAAGCCUGAUGCAGCGACGCCGCGUGGGGGAUGACGGCCUUCGGGUUGUAAACUCCUUUCGACCGCGAGGAAGCCGCCUGGUUGGAAGGGUGGUGACGGUAGUGGUAGAAGAAGCACCGGCUAACUACGUG
rnacentral:rRNA from 1 species